rnacentral:rRNA from 1 species
AUUGAACGCUGGCGGCAGGCCUAACACAUGCAAGUCGAGCGGAUGAGAAAAGCUUGCUUUUUGAUUCAGCGGGGGACGGGUGAGUAAUGCCUAGGAAUCUGCCUGUUAGUGGGGGAUAACUCGGGGAAACUCGGGCUAAUACCGCAUACGUCCUACGGGAGAAAGUGGGGGAUCUUCGGACCUCACGCUAACAGAUGAGCCUAGGUCGGAUUAGCUAGUAGGUGAGGUAAUGGCUCACCUAGGCGACGAUCCGUAACUGGUCUGAGAGGAUGAUCAGUCACACUGGAACUGAGACACGGUCCAGACUCCUACGGGAGGCAGCAGUGGGGAAUAUUGGACAAUGGGCGAAAGCCUGAUCCAGCCAUGCCGCGUGUGUGAAGAAGGUCUUCGGAUUGUAAAGCACUUUAAGUUGGGAGGAAGGGUAUCCACCUAAUACGUGGGUACUUUGACGUUACCAACAGAAUAAGCACCGGCUAACUCUGUGCCAGCCGCCGCCGUAACAC